rnacentral:rRNA from 1 species
AUUGAUGGCGACCGGCGCACGGGUGAGUAACGCGUAUGCAACUUACCUAUCAGAGGGGGAUAGCCCGGCGAAAGUCGGAUUAAUACUCCAUAAAACAGGGGUCCCGCAUGGGACUAUUUGUUAAAGAUUCAUCGCUGAUAGAUAGGCAUGCGUUCCAUUAGGCAGUUGGCGGGGUAACGGCCCACCAAACCGACGAUGGAUAGGGGUUCUGAGAGGAAGGUCCCCCACAUUGGUACUGAGACACGGACCAAACUCCUACGGGAGGCAGCAGUGAGGAAUAUUGGUCAAUGGCCGAGAGGCUGAACCAGCCAAGUCGCGUGAAGGAUGAAGGAUCUAUGGUUUGUAAACUUCUUUUAUAGGGGAAUAAAGUGUGGGACGUGUUCCAUUUUGUAUGUACCCUAUGAAUAAGCAUCGGCUAACUCCGUGCCAGCAGCCGCGGUAAUACGGAGGAUGCGAGCGUUAUCCGGAUUUAUUGGGUUUAAAGGGUGCGUAGGUGGUAAUUUAAGUCAGCGGUGAAAGUCUGUGGCUCAACCAUAAAAUUGCCGUUGAAACUGGGUUACUUGAGUGUGUUUGAGGUAGGCGGAAUGCGUGGUGUAGCGGUGAAAUGCAUAGAUAUCACGCAGAACUCCAAUUGCGAAGGCAGCUUACU